rnacentral:rRNA from 1 species
UCCUCCCUCUGGCGGCGUGCUUAACACAUGCAAGUCGAACGGAAAGGCCCUGCUUGCCGGGUACUCGAGUGGCGAACGGGUGAGUAACACGUGGGUGAUCUGCCCUGCACUUCGGGAUAAGCCUGGGAAACUGGGUCUAAUACCGGAUAGGAGCCAUUUUUAGUGUGAUGGUUGGAAAGUUUUUUCGGUGUAGGAUGAGCUCGCGGCCUAUCAGCUUGGUGGUGGGGUAAUGGCCUACCAAGGCGGCGACGGGUAGCCGGCCGGAGAGGGUGGACGGCCACAAUGGGACUGAGAUACGGCCCAGACUCCUACGGGAGGCAGCAGUGGGGAAUAUUGCACAAUGGGCGCAAGCCUGAUGCAGCGACGCCGCGUGGGGGAUGACGGCCUUCGGGUUGUAAACUCCUUUCGCUAGGGACGAAGCUUUUUGUGACGGUACCUAGAUAAGAAGCACCGGCUAACUACGUG